UACGUAGGGUGCGAGCGUUGUCCGGAAUUAUUGGGCGUAAAGGGCUCGUAGGCGGUCCGUCACGUCGGGAGUGAAAACUCGGGGCUCAACCCCGAGCCUGCUUUCGAUACGGGCGGACUAGAGGUAGGUAGGGGAGAACGGAAUUCCUGGUGUAGCGGUGGAAUGCGCAGAUAUCAGGAGGAACACCGGUGGCGAAGGCGGUUCUCUGGGCCUUACCUGACGCUGAGGAGCGAAAGCGUGGGGAGCGAACAGG
rnacentral:rRNA from 1 species